rnacentral:rRNA from 1 species
GACGAACGCUGGCGGCGUGCUUAACACAUGCAAGUCGAACGAAGUGGCGAACGGGUGAGUAACGCGUAAUCAACCUGCCAUUCAGCGGGGGACAACAGUUGGAAACGACUGCUAAUACCGCAUACUGAAGGAGGGGAUUGCGUCUGAUUAGCUAGUGGGAGGGGUAACGGCCCACCAAGGCGAUGAUCAGUAGCCGGACUGAAAGGAUGAACGGCGAAAGUGGGACUGGUACACGGCCCAGACUCCUAAGGGAGGCAGCAGUGGGGAAUCUUCCGCAAUGGACGAAAGUCUGACGGAGCAACGCCGCGUGAGUGAUGACGGCCUUCGGGUUGGAAAGCUCUGUUAAUCGGGACGCGGUACCGGAAUAGAAAGCCACGGCUAACUACGUGCCAGCAGCCGCGGUAAUAC